rnacentral:rRNA from 1 species
GUGGGGAAUCUUGCGCAAUGGGCGAAAGCCUGACGCAGCCAUGCCGCGUGAAUGAUGAAGGUCUUAGGAUUGUAAAAUUCUUUCACCGGGGACGAUAAUGACGAUACCCGGAGAAGAAGCUCCGGCUAACUUCGUGCCAGCAGCCGCGGUAAUACGAAGGGGGCUAGCGUUGCUCGGAAUUACUGGGCGUAAAGGGCGCGUAGGCGGACAGCUUAGUCAGAGGUGAAAGCCCAGGGCUCAACCUUGGAAUUGCCUUUGAUACUGGCUGUCUUGAGUUUGGGAGAGGUGAGUGGAACUCCGAGUGUAGAGGUGAAAUUCGUAGAUAUUCGGAAGAACACCAGUGGCGAAGGCGACUACCUGGACUGAUACUGACACUGAGGUGCGAAAGCGUGGGGAGCAAACAGGAUUAGAAACCCCUGUAGUCC